rnacentral:lncRNA from 1 species
AAGUGCCUUCUCUCCUCCCGGGUCUGCGCGGACGCGGUCUCCUUACCUCAUUUGUCCUCGCCCCUCCCCGUCCCUCUACGCGUUUUGGUCCCUGUUUGGUGCUUUCUGUUUGCAGCUACGGCAGUGAAUCUGGGCAUAGGAACCAACCAGAAACAAUCGCUUCAGCAAUCAAGACCAUUGUUCAUCAUGGAGGAACCCAUAGAUACCUCUGAGCCUCUAUCUGCAUUACCAUUCACUGGGCAGCAGUCUUUUGAGCCAAGUGGCAAAUUUGGACAGUAUCCAUCCAAUGCAGAUGAACCACAUCCAGGCACUGGGGAGGUGGAGGACAUAGAACAGCUCAAUCAGUGUUUGAUCCAACACUUCCAUCUCAUUAAGACAAGUUUGAUUUUUCUUUGCUUUUUAUUUCAUGGAAUACAUGAGAAUCUCUUAACUGUUGGAGUUUCCAAGGAGGCAUACCUCAUGACUUCAGUUAAUGGAAAGAACAAAACUAAAAUGCUGUAUGGCCAAAGCCACAAAGGGAAGGAUCCGCAAUUUACAUCCUUGGAGCUAUUAUCUGUACUGUACUGUUGUGAUCUACUGAUUGGCAUUGGCAUAGUAGUAGGGGUCAAGUGACAGAAUCCGUGCCAACAGUCUCCAG